CGUUCUGUAAGCCUGCGAAGGUGGCCUGUGAGGGUUGCUGGAGGUAUCAGAAGUGCGAAUGCUGACAUAAGUAACGAUAAAGCGGGUGAAAAGCCCGCUCGCCGGAAGACCAAGGGUUCCUGUCCAACGUUAAUCGGGGCAGGGUGAGUCGACCCCUAAGGCGAGGCCGAAAGGCGUAGUCGAUGGGAAACGGGUUAAUAUUCCCGUACUUGGUGUUACUGCGAAGGGGGGACGGAGAAGGCUAUGUUGGCCGGGCGACGGUUGUCCCGGUUUAAGCGUGUAGGUGUGUGUUCCAGGUAAAUCCGGUU
rnacentral:rRNA from 1 species